rnacentral:rRNA from 1 species
CGGGUGUCUGGGGCGGACGGCAAGUUUACUUUGAACAAAUUUGAGUGCUCAAAGCAGGCCUAUGCCUGACAAUUCUUGCAUGGAAUAAUGGAAUAGGACUUCGGUUCUAUUUUGUUGGUUUUCGGAUCCGAAGUAAUGGUUAAGAGGGACAGACGGGGGCAUUUGUAUGGCGGUGUUAGAGGUGAAAUUCUAUGAUCAUCGCCAGACAAACUAAAGCGAAAGCAUUUGCCAAGGAUGUUUUCAUUAAUCUGGAGCGAAAGUCAGAGGUUCAAAGACGAUCAGAUACCGUCGUAGUUCUGACCAUAAACGAUACCAACUGACGAUCCGUGGGUGCUCGUUUAUUGACCCCAUGGGCAGUCCCCGGGAAACCUUGAAGUCUUUGGGUUCCGGGGGAAGUAUGGUUGCAAAGCUGAAACUUAAAGGAAUUGACGGAAGGGCACCACCAGGAGUGGAGCGUGCGGUUCAAUUCGACUCAACACGGGAAAUCUCACCCGGCCCGGACACUGUGAGGAUUGACAGAUUGAGAGCUCUUUCUUGAUUCGGUGGUUGGUGGUGCAUGGCCGUUCUUAGUUGGUGGAGCGAUUUGUCUGGUUAAUUCCGAUAACGAACGAGACUUUGGCCUGCUAAAUAGUAUGCCUGUCCUCUGCUCUUGUGCGGGUGGCGGUAGUGGUAGCCUUUCGGGGUGAUACUGCCGUACGCCGGCGAGGGCUGCGCAGGUCUAUACUUCUUAGAGGGACAAGCGGUUUUUAGCCGCACGAAAUUGAGCA